CUGGUGGCAAGGUCUCUUUGUUCAAUAUGAUGACGUUUAAGAUGACAAAUCCAAUCCCUUGAAUUUUGGUCAGGCCAUGACUACUUUCAUGCCUCCACCUCCAGCAGCUACCUACUUGGCAUUCCAUCCUCGGGACAACAAUAUUAUUGCCAUAGGAAUGGAAGAUUCCACCAUACAAAUAUACAAUGUGGGAGUUGAUGAGGUUAAAACCAAGCUUAAGGGGCACCAUAAACAAAUCACUGGGCUUGCUUUCUCCUAGAACUUGAAUGUAUUGGUAUCAUCUGGAGCUGAUGCACAGGCAGCUAUGUAUCUGGAACAUUGAUGGUUUGCAGAAGAAGAAAAUGAAAGCUAUGCAAGCACCACCAGGUCAUACAUCACCCGUAAUUGGAGAAA